UAGGUCAGUUUUACUGUCAUAACUCUGCGCCUAUGUGAUCCAUAAUUUUGGUCCAGCAUUGGUCCCUAGUCCUGAUCCCAAACUAACCUCUAAAUAGAAUAUCCCUAAUUCUGGCCAUAUAUGAACAUGUAAGCAUGACCACAGAUGCCUCUAAUCUUGGCUACACAUUUAUUCUUAACACUGGCCUUUGACUGCCACCUACAUCAAAAAUAGAACAUUAACUCUAAUCACAGACUAUUCUGAACCCAGACUCAGAAAAAUAAUCCUGUCCUCCUACUUAUCCUCCUGCCCAAUACUAGUUGGGCUAGUUAUCUAAAAAAUCCAGCUAGUUAUCUUAAAAAAAAGUGAAUACUUGGCCUUAAGAGGAAUGUGCAGGAAUCUCUACUGUCCCCAAACUGCUCACACCUUUUGUGUAACUGAUAGCAGAUUAGUGGAAUCACCUUUGUAUAUCAAAGAAACAUUUUCCAUCUCUGCAUAGACAAGGAAAGAUGCAUGGUCCAGUCUGCUCAGUGAAAACCAUUUUCCUGUGAAGUGAACUAACCCAGUAGAGAUGUUUCUGAUGUGCCAUGAGACUAGCCACAUUUGUCCAUAUUUGGGGAGGGUAGCUUACAGUUUGGUAACCCUGCUUCGAGAAGACACAGAAGGAGGAGGAAGAUGAUGAGGACUGUGAGCAGGAUGGAUCUCUCAGAGCCUCCCAUGGGACACUGGGAAUUAAUCAGCUCCCUUUGGCUGAAAAGUGACAACUCCUUUGGCACAAUUCUUUCCGGCUACAAAUCACUCCACUGUCUCCAGCCACCUUCAGAAGAGGGAGCAUCUCAAUUGAGCUGCUGGCGACUGUGCUUUCCUCUCAAGGGAGGCUCUUUCUGAUGGCAAUGCAUCUGUUCCUGCAUUUCCAAGGACUUCGGACCAAGGCCUGCUUGUUUCAGACUAGGCCACCUCCCAAAAGCCCAGCCCCAUGAAACAUGAACCCUUCUGGGAAGAGUUUGCAGGAUGCAUCUGGAGCCAGAUUUCAUUCAACCAUAUCACAAUCCCUCCUUUAUGACAUCAUUGCUCAUCACCAUGGAAACAUUUCCAGAGUCACAGAGACUGGAUUGUGGCAUCAUUGAAAGCAUCAGGCAGGAGGAGGAGAGAAGAGGAAAUGCAGGGUGGGGGGGAGAUGGAAGCCCAACCCAACAAUAAACAUGACACCGGAGGGAAAAUAUUAUUUUUCUCUUUGAUAUUCAUGUAUUGGAGCUUCUUGCCACAAUAAAGCCCUCUAGGAGGUGAGGAAAAGGAUGUCUCCGGAGUGAGAACUCCAGCCCUUGGUCAAUUUUGACUGUAAGAGUUUGAGAUGGACUGGAUCAAUACCCUUGCUAGUCAAAUAAAACUCAAAAGGAAAUAGAUUUAGGUUAGGAUCACAGACUAAUAAAAUA